UGCAAGUCGAGGGGUAACAGGGAGAAGCUUGCUUUUCUGCUGACGACCGGCGCACGGGUGCGUAACGCGUAUGCAACCUACCUUCUAYAGGGGGAUAGCCCAGAGAAAUUUGGAAUAAUACCCCAUACGAUCAAUGAUUGGCAUCGAUUAUUGAAGAAAACUCCGGUGGUAGAAGAUGGGCAUGCGUCCUAUUAGUUAGUUGGUGAGGUAACGGCUCACCAAGACUUCGAUAGGUAGGGGCCCUGAGAGGGGGAUCCCCCACACUGGUACUGAGACACGGACCAGACUCCUACGGGAGGCAGCAGUGAGGAAUAUUGGACAAUGGGGGCAACCCUGAUCCAGCCAUGCCGCGUGCAGGAAGACUGCCCUAUGGGUUGUAAACUGCUUUUAUACAGGARGAAACCUACUUACGUGUAAGUAGCUGACGGUACUGUAAGAAUAAGGAUCGGCUAACUCCGUGCCAGCAGCCGCGGUAAUACGGAGGAUCCAAGCGUYAUCCGGAAUCAUUGGGUUUAAAGGGUCCGUAGGUGGUUAAUUAAGUCAGAGGUGARAGCCAGCAGCUCAACUGUUGAACUGCCUUUGAUACUGAUUAACUUGAGUUAUUGUGAAGUAGUUAGAAUAUGUAGUGUAGCGGUGAAAUGCAUAGAUAUUACAUAGAAUACCGAUUGCGAAGGCAGAUUACUAACAAUACACUGACACUGAGGGACGAAAGCGUGGGUAGCGAACAGGAUUAGAUACCCUGGUAGUCCACGCCGUAAACGAUGGUCACUAGCUGUUUGACUAACAUUGGUUGGUUGAGUGGCUAAGCGAAAGUGAUAAGUGACCCACCUGGGGAGUAUGCUCGCAAGANUGAAACUCAA
rnacentral:rRNA from 1 species